CUACGGGCGGCACCAGUAAGGAAUAUUGGUCAAUGGGCGAAAGCCUGAACCAGCCAUGCCGCGUGAGUGAAGACGGCCUUCGGGUUGUAAAACUCUUUUCUAAGGGAAGAACCAACAGGACAGGAAAUGGUCCCGCUCUGACGGUACCUUAGGAAUAAGGAACGGCUAACUCCGUGCCAGCAGCCGCGGCAAUACGGAGGUUCCAAGCGUUGUUCGGAUUUACUGGGCGUAAAGGGAGCGCAGGCGGAAGGGUCAGUCUGAAGUGGAAUCCCGGGGCUCAACCUCGGACGUGCUUUGGAUACUGCCCUUCUUGAGUCCGUGAGAGGAAAGCGGAAUUCAGGGUGUAGCGGUGAAAUGCUUAGAUAUCCUGAGGAACACCAAUGGCGAAAGCAGCUUUCUGGCACGUGACUGACGCUGAGGCUCGAAAGCGUGGGGAGCGAACGGGAUUAGAUACCCUUGUAGUC
rnacentral:rRNA from 1 species